UACGUAGGCAGCGAGCGUUGUUCGGAGUUACUGGGCGUAAAGGGUGUGUAGGCGGCCUAUUAAGUUUGGUGUGAAAUCUCCCGCUCAACCGGGAGGGUGCGCCGAAAACUGGGAGGCUAGAGUGCGGGAUGGGAGAGUGGAAUUCCUGGUGUAGCGGUGAAAUGCGUAGAUAUCAUUUGGAACGCCAAUGGUGAAAACAGCUCGCUGGGAAUGAUCUGACACUGAGACGCGAAAGCCAGGGGAGCGAACGGG
rnacentral:rRNA from 1 species